rnacentral:rRNA from 1 species
UACGAAGGGGGCUAGCGGUGUUCGGAAUCACUGGGCGUAAAGCGCACGUAGGCGGAUUUGUUAGUCAGGGGUGAAAUCCCGGGGCUCAACCUCGGAACUGUCUUUGAUACUGCAGAUCUAGAGUCCGGAAGAGGUGAGUGGAAUUCCUAGUGUAAAGGGGAAAUUCGUAGAUAUUAGGAAGAACACCAGUGGCGAAGGCGGCUCACUGGACCGGUACUGACGCUGAGGUGCGUAAGAGUAGGGAGCAAACAGG